rnacentral:rRNA from 1 species
UACGUAGGGUGCGAGCGUUGUCCGGAAUUAUUGGGCGUAAAGGGCUCGUAGGCGGUUUUGUCGCGUCGGGGAGUGAAAACGCCGUGCUUAACACGGCGCUUGCUUUCGAUACGGGGCAGGACUAGAGGUAUGCAGGGGGAGAACGGAAUUCCUGGUGUAGCGGUGGAAUGCGCAGAUAUCAGGAGGAACACCGGUGGCGAAGGCGGUUCUCUGGGCCUUACCUGACGCUGAGGAGCGAAAGCGUGGGGAGCGAACAGG